rnacentral:rRNA from 1 species
AUAUCAAUAAGCGGAGGAAAAGAAACCAACAGGGAUUGCCCCAGUAACGGCGAGUGAAGCGGCAACAGCUCAAAUUUGAAAUCUGGCUCCUUUCGGGGUCCGAGUUGUAAUUUGUAGAGGAUGCUUUUGGUGAGGUGCCGCCCGAGUUCCCUGGAACGGGACGCCACAGAGGGUGAGAGCCCCGUCUGGCUGGCCACCGAGCCUCUGUAAAGCUCCUUCGACGAGUCGAGUAGUUUGGGAAUGCUGCUCAAAAUGGGAGGUAUAUGUCUUCUAAAGCUAAAUAUUGGCCAGAGACCGAUAGCGCACAAGUAGAGUGAUCGAAAGAUGAAAAGCACCUUGAAAAGAGGGUUAAAUAGUACGUGAAAUUGUUGAAAGGGAAGCGCUUGUGACCAGACUUGGGCGCGGCGGAUCAUCCGGGGUUCUCUCCGGUGCACUUCGCCGUGUCCAGGCCAGCAUCAGUUCGUCGCGGGGGAAAAAGGCUUCGGGAACGUGGCUCCUCCGGGAGUGUUAUAGCCCGUUGCAUAAUACCCUGCGGUGGACUGAGGACCGCGCAUCUGCAAGGAUGCUGGCGUAAUGGUCACCAGCGA